rnacentral:rRNA from 1 species
AUGGCAUCUUCUACUCUGAAACCAGGUGUGCCUGUCACUCUGCAAGAGCUAGCGCCCUCCUCGGAGAUGUUCAAGCAAGGGGCGUCCCUCCGGGUAACAGGAAUGUAUGUCUGCCGGUUACUUUUAUUUCUCCUCAAAACUACAAGUUUUAACCGUGCUAGCCUUCUUGUCUUGCAAUUCUCUAGCCUUCAGUCAUACGAUGUGGACUCUGCGAUUGCUGUCAUUCGAGAUGGCAGCGCGACGCUGAAGGUCGACGCCCAGCACCUGCGGGACAUCAGUUUCCGCAGCGGUUCUAUGUUCCAGUUCAUUGGUGAGCUCCUGAUCCGGCCGAACGAUGACGCGAUUCUGCAAGCACGUAACGUCGAUGGCCUUGACCUGAACCUUUACCAGCAGUCUCUCAUCAUCCGACGGCAGCAUGAAGCCAGACUGCUGAGCUCCAGGAGCGCGUGA